GAUGAUAUAAAGAGUUGCUAAAAGUGAUAUCAUAUGAUAGGGCAAUAAAAUGUUACAAGAUAAUUAAUUUAUUUAAAAACUAACUAAAUAAUUAAAUAAUAAUUAGAAUUCUCUAGAAUAAAAUUGUGUCUAUCAUCAACUCCAACCCCCCUCCCCUCAUUUCAGCCAAGAACGUCCACCCCUCUCUUCCAUUGAAGACAAGAGCUCAACCUUUUCAUUUCCAAAUCUUUUGUCAUUUUAAUCGGUAAAUCGAUCGGGAAAUCGGAUAUCCGCCAGAAAAUCAAGUAUAAGGCAUAGAAGCUUGUAACACGAGUCGUGCAAAAAUGAAUGGACCUAGAAGAUAGCAAAGGGUCGGAAGGUGAAAUAGGCUUAUGUUCAUAAGCCUGCGAGGUUAGAGUCGACAUUAUGUCAGUGGUGUCGCACAACUUUGCAUCUUUGGCGAGUCACUGGUGGUCAACUUGGUUUAGUAGACGUGGCAUGUUGGGCAAUAGUUUAAUCUUUAACCUUCCGUUGGGUAAAUGUUACGUUUUUAAAUGUAAUAGAUUUUUAAUUAUGCUUUUAAGCUAAAAAAAGAAAAAUUUCUGCA